rnacentral:rRNA from 1 species
AUGAUGCCCGUGGCCGUAAUGGUCACAUUAGUCCCGGGCCAGCUUGAGAGUGUCCGAGACAGCAGUAAUAAGACGACUGAUAGUGCAACUCUUAAUGGGUCGCCAAAACCCUUCCACCACCGCCGCCGGCAUUGCCCGUCAGCCUGCAAUGCUCGUUGCUCGCAGAACUGGAGGAACAAGAUAUGUAACAAAGACUGCAAUAUUUGUUGCGACAAGUGUAACUGCGUCCCUUCCGGCACCGGCCAGGAGACCCGUAGUGAAUGCCCCUGCUACGCCAACUUGGUCGACUCAAAGACCGGCAAGCUCAAGUGCCCGUAG